AACGAACGCUGGCGGCGUGCCUAACACAUGCAAGUCGUGCGAGAAAGUUCCUUCGGGAGCGAGUAAAGCGGCGCACGGGUGAGUAACACGUAGGUAACCUGCCCCCCAGUCUGGAACAACUAGAGGAAACUCUAGCUAAUGCCGGAUGAGACCACGAUCCCCUUCGGGGGUUGCGGCCAAAGAUGGCCUCUACUUGUAAGCUAUCGCUGAGGGAUGGGCCUGCGGGCCAUUAGCUUGUUGGUGAGGUAACGGCUCACCAAGGCUGUGAUGGCUAGCUGGUCUGAGAGGAUGACCAGCCACACUGGGACUGAGACACGGCCCAGACUCCUACGGAGGCAGCAGUGGGAAUAUUGCGCAAUGGGCGAAAGCCUGACGCAGCGACGCCGCGUGGGGGAUGACGGCC
rnacentral:rRNA from 1 species